UGCUGUUGACAGAAGAUAGAGAGCACAGAUGAUGAUGAAAUGCAUAAAGUUUGCAUCUCACUCCUUUGUGCUCUCUACUCUUCUGUCAUCA
rnacentral:pre_miRNA from 1 species